AAAAAGAUAAAUCCUGAUUUCCGUGUCCAAUAUUUGACUGUCCGUUUUAUUUGAAAAAACUAUGAAAAAAAUUAAAAAAAUGAGUCACGCAUAAAAUAUUAAUAAUGUUUUGUCAUCUAACAAUAAUAAAAAUACUAAUUAUAAAAAAAUUUCAUAUAAGAUGGAUAGUUAAACGUUGACACGUAAACUCAGGGUUUGCUUUUUU
rfam:Oryza sativa Japonica Group DNA, chromosome 6, cultivar: Nipponbare, complete sequence.